AAUCAACGCUGGCGGCGUGCCUAACACAUGCAAGUCGCACGAGAAAGUGGAGCAAUCCAUGAGUAAAGUGGCGUACGGGUGAGUAACACGUGAAUCAUCUACCUCCGAGUGGGAAUAACCUAGAGAAUCUGGGCUAAUACCGCAUAACACUUACGAGUCAAAGCAGCAAUGCGCUUGGAGAGGAGCUCGCGGCAGAUUAGUUAGUUGGCAGGGUAAUGGCCUACCAAGACGAUGAUCUGUAUCCGGCCUGAGAGGGCGCACGGACACACUGGAACUGAAACACGGUCCAGACUCCUACGGGAGGCAGCAGUGGGGAA
rnacentral:rRNA from 1 species